UAGUGGUGGAGAAACUGUAAGAUGUGGGCUAUCCUCAUCGCUGUUUUUCUCAUCAUCAUCGUCAUCAUUAUCGUGUGGUACUCUUCCUGAUCGCCCAGCGCCUUGAACUGCCCACUCACGGCCUUGAUGAGGAGGUGGAGGUGGUGGUGACAUGCAGGGAUGGGUGGGUGAGUGAGUCAGUGGGUGAGUGAGUCAGUGGGUGAGUGGGUGAGUGAGUC